rnacentral:tRNA from 40 species
UGGAUUGAGCCUUGGUAUGGAAAAUCCGUCGACUUUAUAAAUCGUGAGGGUUCAAGUCCCUCUAUCCCC